UCUCUCUCUCUCUCUCUCUCUAAGCUCCGAAAGCCUAACCCUAGCUCUCACCCCAGUUCCCUCACAAAUGAAACCUCAAAAUCUCAUAUUCGACAUCCUUGAGACUCAAGGAACACAAAUAUGGUCUUGCAUGUGAGAUCGAUGCAGUGUGGACCUCGGCACCAUUGAAGCCGAGAGCUUCAAGCUCUGAAACUCGAACCCAUGAGAGUUUCUUUAUGCAAAUCUUGUUUCAUUGUGUUUUAUUAUUGUUUGGGACGGGAUUUUUGGUGAUUUCCAAUUCGAAACAAGAGAUUUCACCCCUGCAUUUGCUCUGUGCAUUUUUUUCAGUUUCCGGUCAUUUCCACCGUGCAAACUCCGGCGAGUUUGUGAGCUUUGGAGUUCAUACUCUACUCGAAUGAACCCUAGAAUCCGGCGAACCUCGCUAAGCUCCACUCGUCGAAUCCAAGGUGGAUUCGACCUUUCCUCCUUCAAAUUUGAGUUUGGUUUCCGGUGAGACUCCGAUGACGGCAGACAGCAGCCAGUGACGGUCAUCGUUAAUUCUAACGGCAGAACCUGAGAUUCCGUUAACUCUAACGGAAUUUUCCAACGGCAAAGGUAUAUUCUAUUAACCUUUAUUAAACCUUCACCGAACCAACGUGUGGCUCAAGCGACGGCGAGUGUGGCGUUUACUCGCCGAACCGUGGCCGCGAGUACGACAACGUGUUUGCCGGCAACGGCGUGUUCACCGGCAACGGCGGCCCACGGCAGCGUGUUUCUCGGCGUGUGGUCGAAGCAUGGCAGUGCGUGACGAACCGGAGCCCUAACCCUAGGUUUUUCGGUGUUCUAAAUCAAGUGGGUUAUUAAAGGAUAGAAAGGAUAUAGGCAAGGAGCCUAGUUGCGAAGGACGCUCUGCUUACCUGAUGCAACAAGAGUAAGGAGAACACUUAGUGACAAGUGGGCUUGGCAGUGAAGUUUUCAUCCUCUGGAUUUUGUGUGAUAGUUCAUUUACUGCAGUUUUAUCUGUGUUGUAAUAAUGGCAUGAUGGUACUUUGGAUUAUGCAUAGCACUGCAUUUUUAUGUAUUUAAUGUUGUGUGAAACUUCAGGCUACUUUGAUGUGAUGUGAUAAUAAUAGGGUAAAAUCCAAGAUAAUUUGUGUC